rnacentral:lncRNA from 1 species
GGCGUUAAAGUAGAAAACAUCCAUCACACGACUUAAACUUAGGUCUCUGCAGGGCACAAUGUAUUGCUAUUCUCCAUAAAUCUAAAUAUUAUCUCGCUAACGGUUCGUUAUCUUGUCUUGUCUUUGUGGCUGUGUGUGUUUCAAAUGUUAAUUUGUUCCAGCAAAACUCUUCAAAGGUACCCAUUUCUGAAAUCUGUUGGGGAGGGUGGAGUUUAAGUCGUCAUGGAUACAGAGUGAGAAGAAAGGAGUUUGUCAAACUUGGGAAAGACAAUUUCCUCCUAUCGCCUCAAAAAUCCACUGCAUAAAGCAAGAAUUCUUAAGGGUCAGGCCAGCCCUUACCUUCCCUGAGAAAGAAGGGCACCGUGGGCUCUCAGAAGUUAUGCCCCAGAGGUUAUUACCGCGCCUCUGCCUGGCGUUGGGGGGGGAGGGGGGUGAAAGGAAACAGUUGACAUUUCCGGUCACACUAAGGCUCUCUGGCCUGGGGCCCUGGGCACUAGCUCCCCCUGCCGGCGGGCUGCCAGAGACCAUAUAAACCGAGAUCGGGCCUCCACGCUGCCCGCUCUCUUCUCCCGCGUCAUGAAGCUGAGCAGCCUCUUUGCGCUCACUGUGGUCCUCCUGGUCCUCUGCCUCCACGCGGCGCAGCCUCGUUUGCUGAAGGUAACGAAACCGGGAGAGUGCCCCGAAUUUUCACUUUCCUGCCCCUUCGUCCUCUUACCUCUGUGCCGGCGCGAUAGAGGCUGCAAGGGCGUCAGGAAGUGUUGUUUCUACAACUGUAGGCGUCGAUGCAUGGAGCCCUUGGGGAGUUUGGAGUGAGGACAGUAAAGAGAGAGGCCCAACAGACGUCCUUCCUCAGAAACCGCGCCCUUCGUUCCAUGUGAUGGGCAGCGCUCUCCCGUGAAUGAUGGGGACAGUUGGAGGAGGUUAUCUCUGGGCUCCUCAACUGUUGCUGAAUUUUUCUUAUGACAAUUUUCAAUGGCCAUUGCUUCUCUUACAUCUUGUAAGAGUGAAUCGCUUUCCUCUUCACAUUUAAAUUGUCAGGUAGAAACCCCUUCUGAACCAACCCCGAGAAGACACUGAUAGAGCAGGCUCAGAUUGGAUAACUGAUUUCUGGUUCUUCCAUGCUCUCCUCAUCCCCGUCUUCCUUUUAUCCAGAGUUAAAUGCUUAUUAAUAUGAAAACAACACAAAGAAAUAAAGUGUUAUAUAUUUAAAACUACAUGAAAAUCUACGACUGCUGGGUCUCCCCCCCCCACCCCCUUCUCUGUCCUCAGCCUCGAGGGGCAUCCUUUAGGAUUUGUAAAAAAGGAUGGGGUUACUGUUUCACAUUUAGUUUUGAUCAGUUCCUGCACUUCUGUUUUUCUGAUAUGUUUCUCUCUUUCAAUGUCUCCUGACACUCAGAUCCCAGGGGCAUUUUUGAGUCAUGUUUUCUGUGUUGGAUCGUCUGAGAGGUGUAUGUUGUCCUGGGAUAAGGAGGCAAGGCUUUUUGCCACAUGGUCUCUGGCCCCGCUGCUGGUGGCCUUUCUGCUUGUUGGAAUAGUGUGAUCCAGGACUAGAUUUGGGACUUUGGGUUGGCAGUGGAGCAGAACGUGCCUUAGUUCUAGGCUACUUUAAGGUCUAAAAUCUUAGGCCUUCAUAACUCAGGAAAAGGAAGUCUUGUCCACAGCCCAGUUUAGCUACCUUGAGUCUUAGUUCGGGAGCUGAGCCUCUAAGCUACCUACUCGUGAAGCGUUAGCCUUGCACUUUCUCGCUUUCUGCUGUUUGGUUCGGUCUUGCUGAGGGAUCACACAGGGCUUUUAGGUCUGGAGAGUAGUCUUCCAAAAAUUUAUUUUUCCUUGACACAUACAGCUUAAACAAAUUUUUGAAAAACUAUUUAUUCCCUAGGAUGUUUUCAGGUGACAUAUAAUAUUUUUCAUCAUCAUCUACAUAGUUACAAGUGAUAACAUUGUAGGUGUAGGAUGAACAUUGUCAUUUAAAUAAAAAUGGGAGCCUCACUCUUUUUAAUGUUUCUAAUGGAAUCUAAUUAUUAUCUUCAUUGGAUAGUAAUUUCUAUUAGGAAAAAACAUGUUCUUUCUUCUCUGAAUUUUCUUCUGCCUCCCCACUUGCUUUCCCUUCAUUGCCUGCACAGUUCAAACCAAAACAAAUAGGUGAAUGGGUUAGUUUGGUUCCUCUGAAAAGCAGAUGUCAAGACAAGAGUAGGGAAUCAAGGGCUUAUUGGGGAAAAUGCGUGUGAGGGAUAAAGGGGAGAUAGCCAGAGGAGACAAGGAGAACCAUCAGACUGUGAUGCAGGGCUCCCGUGAAGGAGGGGAGGAGGAUGCUCAGAAUACAGUAUGAUUAAGAAAGUGUCAGCCUGGCUGAAAGGGAGUGAUUGAAUUAAAGUCACCCCUCAGAGCAAUCCCCGUCUCCCAGAAUGGGUCAGAGAGGGAAGGAUUCCUGGCUAGCUUGUGGGUGAUCCCCUCUUCCUUUCCUAGGGCAGGAGCUCAAUCAGGUCCUUCAGUGGGCAUCCCAGGAAAGGGAGCCCUGACAAAUAGGGACCAAGUCCUCUGUGAGAGCUUCACCUGACAGUACGUCCGGACCACCCGACAUUGUCCUUGGACUAACCAGCUCUGUCUGCCGCAUUCGCCCUCUCUGUUCCGCUUUGUCUCCCUCCCUUUCUCUCCAUCUCCUUUGUUCUCUCUUUCUUCAUCUCCUUCCCUCUCUGUAUCUAUCUGGUCUCUUUUCAUUUCUGGUACAUUUUAAUUUUUAUUACUGUAUUUUAUACAUUAUAAAAUAUUACUGUAUUUUAUUACAGUAUUCUGCUAUCUCUCUCUCUUUCUCUGUCUGUGUGUCCUUCUGUCUCUGACUCUCAUUUUUGUCAUAAUGGUUUCAUGUGUUUGUUUUUAUUUUCUCCUCUCUCUGUUUCUGUCAUUCUUUGUCUCUGUGUGUCUUUGUCUUUCCUUGGGCCAGAAACACAAGAAUGUAAACCCUACAUACACGUUCCCUCAGGAGCCAGGGACUUCUCAUUGCCUACUUAUCAGGCGUCCUUAGCACUCUCCCCCGCCCGUCUCUGGAUCAUGACUGCUCUCCCACAGCCCUCCUUUUGGUUUCUGGGGACUCCUUUCACUUCCUGGGAAGAUAGUCUAGAGCCUUUGUUAAUUCCACCUACCUUCUUGUCCGUCUCAUCUAUAACCCCCUGUUGCUGCCAGAUCUGUCAGCUGUUGCUGUGCCAGAAUGACCAGCAGAGCUCAGAGCAGUGGCAGUGCUGUCCCAGUGCUUGUUGCAGGAAGUCCAGGAGUCCUGCAAACGUUCUAAAUGUGGUUCAGGUGAAGUCUGAGAAGUGUUCAGUGAAGAAAGGCACUUGUAAGAUGCCCAACCCUUCAAACUAUUGCAAAAAUGAUGCUCAUGCCGAAUGGAUAAAGAAGAUGUGGUACAAAUAUACAAUGGAAUACUACUCAGCUGCAAAACAGAACAAAAUCAUCCCAUUUGCAAUAACAUGGAUGGACCUUGAGGGAAUUAUGUUAAGUGAAAUAAGCCAGCGAGAGAAAGAUAAUCUGUGUAUGACUCCACUCAUAUGAGGAAUUUAAAAUUAUGGACUAAGAACAGUUUAGUGGAUACCAGGGGAAAGGUGGGGUGGGGGGUGGGCACAAAGGGUGAAGUGGUGCACCUACAACAUGACUGACAAACAUUAAUGUACAACUGAAAUUUCACAAGUUUGUAACCUAUCAAUAACUCAAUAAAAAAAAAAGUACCACCA